rnacentral:rRNA from 1 species
AUGGUGAGACGAGGGCCGUUCGACGGACUGUUCGGUUUCUCUCAGGGCGCCCUCCUGUCGGCCGCGCUUGUUGGGCUCCAGCAACAAGGGCUGGCCUUGAACAUGGUUCCUAGGGUGAAGUUCGUUAUGACCAUAUCCGGUGCGAAGAUCCAGUCGCCGGCAUUGGCUGCCAAGGCGUACGCCAACAAGAUCAACUGCACUUCGCUUCACUUCAUUGGUGACGGUGACUUCGUGAAAGCCCACGGCGAGGAGCUGGCGGACUCGUUCGUGGAUCCACUUGUCAUACGCCACCCGGCCGGGCACACGGUCCCCAGACUCGACGAGAAGGGCCUCCAGGCGAUGCUCAGCUUCCUUGACAAGAUCGAAAGUGGUCUGGCGAGAGAUUGAUCAACUGUGCUAACCACCACUCUGUUUCAUGAGUUUAUGGCAUAGUAGUAGUACUAACAUCUACUAACAUGGAUGACUGGCAUUUGAAGACCACGAUAACCGUUUAACACAAGGCUGCGGAAAAGUAUUAUUAGGAGGCAGUUCUGAAGAUCAAAAAGGCGCAAGGGGGCAUGGCGGGAAGCCUAUGGCUAGGAGGAUCUGCUUGAGCUCUAUUCUUUUGCGUGCUCUGGGUGUGUGAGCUCAAAUAUGAACUUCCGGUUUUUUGCUUAGGACUGGCAGAACUGUGUUUCAAGCUUCUUGCGUGUAGUUGCUGUCUGUCUGCCGCAUAUGUUCCCAGGCUUUCAGUUUUUUUUUUGCGGGGUACGUUUUCUUUUUGCCCUUUCUACUCUUUAGUUUCAUGUAAUAAAUGAAAAUCGAUGAGGGCUUGUUCGGUUGACAUGGAAAAUGAAGGGAUUUGGCAGGGAUUGCACCCUCUACAAGUGAAAAUCCCCUCCAAUCCACCCCAAUCCCCUGUGAGGGGGUGUAACUGAACGAAGCCUGAGGAGGCUCAUUGUUUCAAAAGAAAUU